GAUGAACGCUGGCGGCGUGCCUAACACAUGCAAGUCGAACGGAGAUUACGGACGGAAGUUUUCGGAUGGAAGACUGUAAUUCUUAGUGGCGGACGGGUGAGUAACGCGUGGGCAACCUGCCCUAUACAGGGGGAUAGCAGCUGGAAACGGCUGGUAAGACCGCAUAAGUCGGUUAAAUCGCAUGAUUUGAUCGGGAAAUGAGCAAUCAGGUAUAGGAUGGGCCCGCGUCCGAUUAGCCAGUUGGCAGGGUAAAAGCCUACCAAAGUGACGAUCGGUAGCCGGACUGAGAGGUCGGACGGCCACAUUGGGACUGAGACACGGCCCAAACUCCUACGGGAGGCAGCAGUGGGGGAUAUUGCACAAUGGAGGAAACUCUGAUGCAGCGACGCCGCGUGAGUGAAGAAGUAUUUCGGUAUGUAAAGCUCUAUCAGCAGGGAAGAUGAUGACGGUACCUGAGUAA
rnacentral:rRNA from 1 species